GCAUCUCGUCCAUCAAUGAGAAGGAUAUUUCUAGCUCUUGAAGGAAUUUUGCCUUUAGAGAAUUUGUGCGAUCAGGAGAAUGACAACAAUGUCAACGGAUUGUCACAGAGUAUUAGAGUAUGGAACUCAAGGAAUCGCAAUUCAAAUCGAAUGUCUGUUCAACCAUUUAGGUCUCCUGUGGAAAGUAAGGAAAUUAUUCGUUCUCAAUACUCAAUCAAACACCCUCCACAUCAUAGUCCAGACAGGGUUGAGUCCGAAUUUGAUCUAGAUCUUGAAGACAUUAUGGUUAUGGAGGCUAUUUGGCUUUCUAUUCAGGAGAAUGCCCACCGUCAGGAACUCAUCGUCCAUCGUCCCCAUCGUCCUCGGUUUCCAUGGUGAGCUUGAACCUCGCUCUAUCGUCAUUGCCGUCCUUGGUCCCAAAGAGCUAGAGACUCAUCGUUCAAUCGUUACCUUUGCCGAUUUCCACUUAAAUUCACUGUAGCUUCAACCUUCAAGGUUUUUUCUGCUGAGAUGUAAAAAUUUUAGAAUUUUGUUUAUUUUUUUUUAAUUUGCAUAUUUAUUGUUUGAUUUUGUAAUUUGAUGUUCAUUUGUGGGGUAAAAUAUUGGAGGGAAAGUUGUUUUAUGAAUAAUAAA
rnacentral:misc_RNA from 1 species